UGCAGCUCGACGUGUAACAUCGUGAAGAUCGCUUCCAGCGAAACCGGUUGCUGUGAUCCGUAGCGUAGGUAAGUA